CCUACGGGAGGCAGCAGUGAGGAAUAUUGGUCAAUGGGCGCGAGCCUGAACCAGCCAAGUAGCGUGAAGGAUGACUGCCCUACGGGUUGUAAACUUCUUUUAUAAAGGAAUAAAGUGAGGCACGUGUGCCUUUUUGUAUGUACUUUAUGAAUAAGGAUCGGCUAACUCCGUGCCAGCAGCCGCGGUAAUACGGAGGAUCCGAGCGUUAUCCGGAUUUAUUGGGUUUAAAGGGAGCGUAGAUGGGUUGUUAAGUCAGUUGUGAAAGUUUGGGGCUCAACCGUAAAAUUGCAAUUGAUACUGGCAGCCUUGAGUACAGUUGAGGUAGGCGGAAUGCGUGGUGUAGCGGUGAAAUGCUUAGAUAUCACGAAGAACCCCGAUUGCGAAGGCAGCUUACUAAACUGUGACUGACGUUGAUGCUCGAAAGUGUGGGUAUCAAACAGGAUUAGAUACCCGAGUAGUC
rnacentral:rRNA from 1 species